rnacentral:rRNA from 1 species
GGGCAUUUGUAUGGCCCCGUGAGAGGUGAAAUUCUUGGACCGUGGCCAGACAAACUUCAGCGAAAGCAUUUGCCAAGAAUGUCUUCAUUAAUCAAGAACGAAAGUCAGAGGUUCGAAGGCGAUCAGAUACCGCCCUAGUUCUGACCGUAAACGAUGCCAACUAGCGAUCCGCCGAUGGAAAUUAUAUUGCCUUGGUGGGGAGCUUCCCGGAAACGAAAGUCUUCCGGUUCCGGGGGAAGUAUGGUUGCAAAGCUGAAACUUAAAGGAAUUGACGGAAGGGCACCACCAGGAGUGGAGCCUGCGGCUUAAUUUGACUCAACACGGGGAAACUCACCCGGCCCGGACACUGUGAGGAUUGACAGAUUGAUAGCUUUUUCAUGAUUCAGUGGAUGGUGGUGCAUGGCCGUUCUUAGUUCGUGGAGUGAUUUGUCUGGUUUAUUCCGAUAACGAGCGAGACUCUAACCUACUAAAUAGCUGGUACAUAAUUUUAGUGUAUACAGCUUCUUAGAGGGAUUUGCGGUGUUCAGCCGAAAGAAAUUGAGCAAUAACAGGUCUGUGAUGCCCUUAGAUGUCCGGGGCUGCACGCGCGCUACACUGGCAAAAUCAACGUGCUUGUCCUACCCCGAAAGGGGCGGGUAAACCAUUGAAAAUUUGCCGUGAUUGGGAUCGGAAAUUGCAAUUAUUUUCCGUGAACGAGGAAUUCCAAGUAAGUGCGAGUCAUCAGCUCGCGUUGAUUACGUCCCUGCCCUUUGUACACACCGCCCGUCGCUGCCCGGGACUGAGCCAUUUCGAGAAAUUUGGGGACCGUUGAUUUAAUUUUUCUAAAUUACUUUGAUGGAAACCAAUUUAAUCGCAGUGGCUUGAACCGGGCAAAAGUCGUAACAAGGUAGCUGUAGGUGAACCUGCUGCUG